CUAGAAGUUGUUGAACCAGUAGAGUACAUAUUGGAUGACAAACGCAAAAGAACACUGCUGAACAUCCCAAUCUUGCCGUUUUUACAGCUGCUUUUGAGUAACAAUUACAUUCUUGACACAACUUUAGAUAUUCAAACCAUGUCAGAAGUUGGACAAGAAACACUGGUAUAUGCAUCUUAUUAUGAUGGUAUGCAUUUCAAGAGCAAUUUUUUUUUUAUCGUGUGAGUUUCAAAUAUUGCUGAACUUGAAUGUUGACGAUUUUUAAAUUUGCAACCUGCCUGGCACUUCCAGUAAAAGGCACAAAAUCUGUCGGCAAUUUACCACCAGGUGAAAGCUCCUCACUGUCUUCCAUAUAUUUGGCAAUACUUGGCCGAUCAGAUGAUGUUAGGACCUAUGAAAAUGAAAAAUCCUUGAGUCCUUGCUGCAAGAUCUUUCCACAUUGGAAAGCCAGGGAAUUUUUAUUGCACAGCAUGGUUGCAUUAAAGGCACAGUGCAGACUGUCAUAGUAGACAAUCUGGGAGCACAUGGAAUUGCUGGCUUUGUAGAGAGUUUCUCCGGCGAAUGUGUGUGCCGGUUUUGUACUGCGAAAAAGUCUGAAAUUGAGUCUGAAGGUGAGUUCUCAUGAUUUCACUCUCAGUACUAAAGAGAUGCAUGAACUGCAGUAUCUCAGGUCAGCAGUAGACACUGAAGAGGCUUGUUGUGGUGUAAAAAGACAGUGUGUUUUGUCUGAACGUCUUUCCCAUUUCAGUGUCAGUAAUGGGUACCCACCUGGUAUUGCUCAUAAUAUAUUUGAAGGCAUAUUACAAGUUGGGUUAGCACACUGCCUACAGUUGUUGAUUUCUAAGAGAUUUUUCACUCUCAACAGUCUCAAUGAAUUAAUCGAAAAAUUUCCUUACAAAUGGACAGACAAAACGAAUCGCCCUCAUAUUGUUCCAUGUGCUUUCAUAGCCAACAGAAGCAUUGGAGGCAAUGCUCAUGAAAAUUGGAGUCUUUUAUGGUUACUUCCAUUCUUGGUUGGACAGCAGAUACCUCCAUAUGAGCCAGCUUGGCAGGUCCUUAUGGAGCUUAAGGAUAUUGCUGAGUUAGUUGUGGCACCAGUGCAAACAACAGAAUCAGUUGCCUUCACAGUGACCAUAGGCACAAGUUGCAAGACGUUUUUCCAGACAUGAAACUUUUGCCGAAACAUCAUGUUGAACAUUAUCCACAGAUGAUCAGAUUUUUUGGACCUUUAGUAGGGAUGUGGAAUCUGAGAUCUGACACAAAGCAUCACUUUUUUAAGCAAGUUGUUUGUUACACACAUUGCUUUAAAAACAUACUCUUGUUUCUGGUGAUGAAACAUCAGUUCAUCAGGCAUAUAACUUGGAGUCAGCUACCAUUGAAAAGAGUAGCAUGAUUGUAACAGCUGUCUCAACUGUUCCCUUUGGUAUUUUGAAUCAGGAUGUAGUUAAUGCUCUUAAGCAAACAUAUCCUGAUUUGACUUGUAUUCAUCUUGCAAAGAAUGUGUCUGUUGAUGGAAUAAACUACAGGAAUGGCAUGAUUGUUGUUCAUGGCCUUUCUGAUAGCUUGCCAGAUUUUGCUGAGAUUGUCCAGGUGGUUAUAGUGGAGUAGAGUUUGAGUUUCAUUGUGAAAGAUAUGAGUGCUUGGUAUUGGGAGCAUUUGUCACUGAAUGGUGUCACUUAAGAUUUAUACACACAAGAGGUUAGGUUCAGUAUGUUUUAAAUAGUUCAUUAAAAGUACAAGUACAAGUUUAAAAUUUGUACAUAAUACCAGUCAAAAGUCUAACAUUACUGAUUCAUAGAGAGGUUGCUUUUACUGUACUAUAAGUCCUUUAGUUCUUGUGCAGUCCAUUGUCCAUCAGGUAAUUUAAUAUAAAUUCUCUGUCUCUUAAUUAUAUUGAGUAAAUAUUACUAUGAAGCUCAGAGUCACUGUGGAAGAAAAUGACUUCAGAAGAUCAGACCUCUCAUCGGGGAUGCAAGAUGCAAGUGUUCAGAAUUUACAUGAUACUGUUCGUCAAGCAUUUGGCAUUGAAAGAGACUUCCGGCUUCAGUAAAUGGAUGCAGACUUUAAUAAUGAAUUCAUGAAUCUGACAUCAAUUCAAGAUAUAAAAGACAAAAGUACCAUCAAGUUGAUCUACCUGGCAAAUGAUUCUCAUUAUCCUCUCUGAAGAUGAGUCCAGGGCUCAAGUCUGGCAUCUUGGAAAAGCUGGCUGAAGAUGUUUUCCAGUACACUGCAUACCCACAUGUUCCCCAGAUAGAUGAGGCUGCAAAGGCACUUGUUGAAAAGUUUCCAUGUUUGAGAGAAAAAGGAUCAAUGAAGGGGUAUAGUGGGUGGAUAUUCAGCCUCAAGCACAAAAUGGCAGGACGCAACAUUAGUUGUCCCGAAGUCACUCUUAAUUCACUGAAGGACAGGUCCAGGGAUGAAUGCUUUCCAGCCAAAAAUGUGAAGAAACCCAAAAGAGCCAAAGUUAACUUUUGCCCUCCUAAUCGUACUGGAGAAACAGAUGAAAGCCUUGAAAAACUGAGAUGUGAGCUACUCAUUGAUUUCAGACAGAGGACGAGAACGAGAACAUCAGUAGGAAAAGAAAAGAUGUCCAAAAUGUUCUCCUACAGAAGAAAGAAUGUGGUGCAGAACAGUCCAAUGAUUGAGGACUUUAAAACUCCAGUGGUCUGCACUUUUCCAGGUUGAGAUUGGUGCCGAAUUCCAGCGCAUUACUACCAUCACCCUUGAAAACACCUUUAUGGCACAAUUGGACAAUUACUGCUGUCCUCCAGAAAAAAAAGAGGUGCUUCUGUACAGAAAAUGGACAAAUUUCAGGAUUUUCCAGAUUUUACAGGACAUGUGAUGUCCUAUCUAAAGAGAGAAGAUAUCCUCAAAGCUCUUUUCAUCUACCUUGGUGAGGAUGAGGGAUGCCUAGUGAAGGAGUACAUGAGAGCAGAGGCCAUCCACACUGGAUCCACACCAUCUAAAAUAAUAUCAACUAAUCUUUGACUAAGGUACUUUAAAUAACAUGUCAAACAUUCAGCUUGUUCAGUGUGUUGAAUGCAGGAUGUUUAGUUAUUCAUCCGCCGUCGUUAGUAAUAGCUUUACUACGCAUUGAGGAACACUUUUCCAACAACAACUCUAGGGAAAUGUGGCAAGGAAUAAAGACCCUCACUGGCUACAAGAAAAGUCACACAGACAUAAACCCCAUAGACAGCACUCUGCCAGACACUCUGAACCAUUACUUUUCUCACUUUGACCAGCGAAACAGUGACGUCUGCAGCCAUCCUUCACUGCCAGGAAAGGAUGACCCGAUACAGCUACACCAGCAUCAGGUCAGAUCCACUCUACGCAGGGUCAACGCGAGGAAAGCAGCUGGUCCAGAUGGAGUCACUGGAUGGAUCUUGAAGGCCUGUGCAGACCAGUUGGCAGAGGUAUUUACCACCAUUUUCAACCUCUCGCUAUUACAGUCCGCUGACCCCACCUGCCUCAAGUCAGCGACGAUCAUCCCAGUUCCAAAGAAAACCACAGUGAACUGCCUGAAUGACUAUCGUCCAGUUGCUCUAACCCCUAUCAUCACCAAAUGAUUUGAGAGACUCAUACUCUCUCGCAUCAAAGCUGUCAUCCCUGCCAACCUCGACCAAAACCAGUUUGCUUACCGAGCAAACAGAUCGACAAAAGAUGCAGUGAUCAAAGCUCUCUUACACUGUACUUACACAUGUGGAUGACGGAAACACUUAUGUAAGAAUGCUGUUUGUGGAUUUCAGUUCAGCUUUUAAUACAGUCAUCCCCCACAAACUCGUUCAAAAACUGAGCAACUUGGGCCUAGGCAGUUCACUGUGCACAUGGAUACUGGACCUCCUGCGCAACAGACCUCAGAAUGUCAGCAUGGGAGGUCACACAUCAUCAACUCUCAUACUGAACACUGGCACACCACAGGGGUGUGUCCUC